GCUCGCUUAGUGUAGUGGCCUAACACGUCUCCCUGUCACGGAGAAGAUCACGGGUUCAAAUCCCGUAGCGAGCGCCA
rnacentral:tRNA from 1 species